AUCAGAGGAAGACAGACAUUGAAGAAACUCGUUAUGGAGUUUGUUUUCAACAUGGCAAGAUUAACCAUUUGGGCAAGAACUUCUCUUGCCUUUACUGUUUGACGUUGCUAUAUAAACCAGACAUGCAGAACCCACAGGAAAGUAACUGCUGAACUCAAACAGUCCUAGAGGGUUCCUGCUUCAUGGAAGAGUCUAUGAGACUUUCUGCAGGACACAGAGAAAUGACUGACAGACUGCCAAUGCAGAUGGACAAUUUGAAAUUUCCUGCUUUGCUGAGAAAUCUUCUGGACACAUUGUGGCCUUGGGCUGAAGAUGGAUCCCCCAACAUUACACAGGAACUUCGGGUGACUGUCCAGACAAAGGAAUCUCCAGUGGAUACCAUUUGUUUUCCAUUCUGAUCAACUUCCUAGACACUGCAAGUGUGGUUUGUAACCUCUGAUAUCACAAUCCUCUAAAUUCUUCUGCAGCCUUCGUGAAUAAUUUAUCGUCUAGUAUCAGCCUCUGUUCUGCUUCUUCCUAUUUAAAUUCUUUAUGGGAUUACAGUCUCCUAUAAAUUAACACUUCCCUAGCUAAGGGGCUGUAGGAAUUUCCUCAAUAUGUUUAUUUGUUUGUUUGUUGAAACACUAAACUUGUACAUAUUGGACAGCCUUCUAUGGAUGAAUUAUAUUCCCAGUUCUUUGCGAAUCCUUUUUAAAGAUCGAGGCAGGACCUCACUACAUUGCUAGGGUGGGUCUUGAAUUCCUUAGGUAGAGAAAGCUGUUUUCUAACUUUCAGCCUCCUAAUUACUUGAAAUUACAGGGAUGAAUCACCCAGCCUGCUUCCCAAUAUCCACUGGAACAAAGCUUCAAGGCAUCAAUAUUCUUAAUUUCUUAACAUAAAAUGCAUUGGGUUAGAAUUCUAUUAAACAGGCACAUGUUUUGAAAGACUACAAAAACAGACAUAUUAGUAACACAGGGUUAUCAAAUCCUCCUCUAUAAGCCAUCAUUAAUUCUUAAAACAGUAACACUUUAUUUUCCUUGAAUUGAUAAAUGGAGUUGUCCUACAGCAAGGUACACUUCUGCCUCUCUACAUAAAUAAUUCCAGUAAACAUGUGUUGACUCUAAUCAUCAACUUUUAUUUUGCAAGGCAUUUUAAUGUUCCAUAAGAGUACUGGGCUCUUAAGGAAAUUUAAUACACAAAGCUAAGUGUGAAUUUCACUUCUUUUUUGAGACAUGCUCAAUAGGAAGAUGUUAAAAGAGUUGAAUUACAAAGCUAAGAAGCAGGUCAAUCCACAGUUUCUUGCACCUGCAUAAAUGAACCUUGUGAACAAACUGAAAACCAUGUAAAUUAACUUCAAUAAUUAGGAACAAAGCAAAUGUGAUACAACUUGAAAGUCACCAUUAAUGAGGUGUAUUAUUGUAGCUCAAUUAAUGUGGAAGAGAAACCUAAAUGCAAAAUUUAAGAUGGUCGGCAUUUUAACAUAUUUCCUAAUCAGAACAUAAAUGAGAAUGGCACAUACAUGGUUUUAUGUUUGGAAAGCGAUUUUUUGCUCUGUUCCAAGGAAGAUCAGCAUCAGUUGAAGAAAGAUCUUGAAGAAAUUUUGGUAAUUCCUGUGAAAACAAAGUUGUUGUAAAGUUUAAACUUGGUAAAUAUGAAAUUCUGAUUAGUGAAAUACAAUUUCUUAUUUUACACCCUUCAUUUAUUUAGUUUAUGUAUGUAUAUUCAAGUGUGUGUGUGUGUGUGUGGUGUGUGUGUGUGUGUGUGCAUCUACAUGUUGUAGGAUAGGAGACCUUGGGUGUCCUUCUUCAACUAUCACAGGCCAAUUUUAUUUUGUCAUUUUUAGAAAACAAAGGAUCUCUCAUUGGUCCAAGGCAUACCAAGUAAGUUAUAUUGUCUGGUCAGCUAUCCUCAGGAAUCUAUCAGUGCCCAUGCCACCAGUGCUGGGAUUACAAAUGCCUGCCACUAUAGGACAGCUUUUGUGUAAGUUCUAGGCAUCCAAUUCAUGUCUUCGUGCUUGCAGGGUUGUUCUACUGAACAAUCAUUCCAGCAAUAGGUGGUUUUGUUUUUAUUAUUUUUAAUUUCAUGUCACUGGUUCUCAGGAUUGAAUGCUGAGCCUUGUCCUUGGCAUGCAAUAUCUAUCACAGAACUAUUCUCCAAGAUCACAUUUUAGAAAAAAAUUAAAAUUCCUAUCAUAUAUAUUGGAACAGGACCAAAUGAAUAGUAAUGAUUUUCCCUAAAUGUCACUAUUACUACUCUGAAUGAUUUUUACCAGCCAGAUUAUGGCUUUCCCUUGAGAAAUUUCAUUGAGCUCUGGAGAGUACGAAGGUGCCACAUGCUACCCACAGCCUCAUCAGGUGCACACAACUGUUACUUAAUAUGUUAAUGCCUCUUUAGAGGGAAGAAGGGAGUUGAAUGAUUUAUUUUUUGUUUUUUCUCCCCAGACAGUGUGAUUUCAUGCCUAUUAAUUGGUGCAACCCUGGUCAUUUUCAGAAGAUGUCAAAGGUCGCUACCGCAUUCUGUUGGCCUUGUUAAAUUGAUAGUGGAAUGCAAAGGUGUAGUUUAGAAUGAUCUGACACAGAUGAUGGGUUGGGUUGGGAAGACCUACUGUUGAUAUUUGAAAGAAAUAUUCUGCAGUCUGUCUUGCUCUUUCUAAUGCAUUGUUAAGGAAGCUGGUGGAAGAAAAUGUAUUGAUUAUUUAGUUGGACUAAAUUGCCAUUCAUGAAACUAUUCCAACUUCUGUAAAGAUAAUAAACUGUGUUUUCCAUUU